GAGGUGAUCCAGCCACACUGGAACUGAGACACGGUCCAGACUCCUACGGGAGGCAGCAGUGGGGAAUAUUGCACAAUGGGCGCAAGCCUGAUGCAGCCAUGCCGCGUGUAUGAAGAAGGCCUUCGGGUUGUAAAGUACUUUCAGCGGGGAGGAAGGGAGUAAAGUUAAUACCUUGCUCAUGAC
rnacentral:rRNA from 1 species